CCCUAGCCUCGAUAGUAGCGGUUACCCCACAGCAGGGAAUGAAAGAAAGGCUUUCGCCCUGGAAAAGCCCUGGCGCGAGGAGUAUGAGCGGAUAGCGAGAGGAAGC
rnacentral:misc_RNA from 1 species